CAGCAUUAUGGAUCAACCAUUUGUUGCUGGAACUUUACAUUCCCUGUGUCAUCUCAUCCCUGUGAGGCAGGGACUAUUAUCAUUCCCUAGAUAAGAGAGCUGAAGCUCAGAGAGGUAAAGUGACUUCCCUAGGCUCACAGUCAAAUGUGGCAGAUCUGAGACUGCAGCCCAGUUCUGUCUCACUGGGAAAUGUGUGCUUUUUCUGCUUUAUGAGGCUGCCCCAAACAUG
rnacentral:lncRNA from 1 species